AGUGAACGCUGGCGGUAGGCCUAACACAUGCAAGUCGAACGGCAGCACAGUAAGAGCUUGCUCUUACGGGUGGCGAGUGGCGGACGGAUGAGGAAUACAUCGGAAUCUACUUUUUCGUGGGGGAUAACGUAGGGAAACUUACGCUAAUACCGCAUACGACCUACGGGUGAAAGCAGGGGAUCUUCGGACCUUGCGCGAUUGAAUGAGCCGAUGUCGGAUUAGCUAGUUGGCGGGGUAAAGGCCCACCAAGGCGACGAUCCGUAGCUGGUCUGAGAGGAUGAUCAGCCACACUGGAACUGAGACACGGUCCAGACUCCUACGGGAGGCGGCAGUGGGGAAUAUUGGACAAUGGGCGCAAGCCUGAUCCAGCCAUACCGCGUGGGUGAAGAAGGCCUUCGGGUUGUAAAGCCCUUUUGUUGGGAAAGAAAAGCAGCAGGUUAAUACCCCGCUGUUCUGACGGUACCCAAAGAAUAAGCACCGGCUAACUUCGUG
rnacentral:rRNA from 1 species